ACCGGAUAGGACGAAAGUUUAAAGGUGCUUCGGCACCACUGAUGGAUGAGCCUGCGGCGCAUUAGCUAGUUGGUAGGGUAAAGGCCUACCAAGGCGACGAUGCGUAGCCGACCUGAGAGGGUGAACGGCCACACUGGGACUGAGACGCGGCCCAGACUCCUACGGGAGGCAGCAGUAGGGAAUCUUCGGCAAUGGGCGAAAGCCUGACCGAGCAACGCCGCGUGAAUGAUGAAGGCCUUCGGGUUGUAAAAUUCUGUUAUAAGGGAAGAAUGGCUCUAGUAGGAAAUGGCUAGAGUGUGACGGUACCUUAUGAGAAAGCCACGGCUAACUACGUGCCAGCAGCCGCGGUAAUACGUAGGUGGCGAGCGUUAUCCGGAAUUAUUGGGCGUAAAGAGCGCGCAGGUGGUUGAUUAAGUCUGAUGUGAAAGCCCACGGCUUAACCGUGGAGGGUCAUUGGAAACUGGUCAACUUGAGUGCAGAAGAGGGAAGUGGAAUUCCAUGUGUAGCGGUGAAAUGCGUAGAGAUAUGGAGGAACACCAGUGGCGAAGGCGGCUCCUGGUCUGUAACUGACACUGA
rnacentral:rRNA from 1 species